AGCGAACGCUGGCGGCAGGCCUAACACAUGCAAGUCGAACGAACUCUUCGGAGUUAGUGGCGGACGGGUGAGUAACACGUGGGAACGUGCCUUUUGGUUCGGAAUAACUCAGGGAAACUUGUGCUAAUACCGAAUGUGCCCUUCGGGGGAAAGAUUUAUCGCCAUUAGAGCGGCCCGCGUCUGAUUAGCUAGUUGGUGAGGUAACGGCUCACCAAGGCGACGAUCAGUAGCUGGUCUGAGAGGAUGACCAGCCACACUGGGACUGAGACACGGCCCAGACUCCUACGGGAGGCAGCAGUGGGGAAUCUUGCGCAAUGGGCGAAAGCCUGACGCAGCCAUGCCGCGUGAAUGAUGAAGGUCUUAGGAUUGUAAAAUUCUUUCACCGGGGAAGAUAAUGACGGUACCCGGAGAAGAAGCCCCGGCUAACUUCGUG
rnacentral:rRNA from 1 species